ensembl:lncRNA
AAAAAAAAGGGAGGGGGUGGGGGGUUUGCUUGCUGCUUCUCUAGCUUAAGGCUUUCACAUUAGUCAAGCAAAUAAUUAACUCAGAAAUCCACAGUGUACCAAAGCAUUGUGGGGUAUCCAUCCUAUAAUUGAAAUUCACUCAUAGAGGCCACAUUUACUGCAAAUCAAUGUUUCACUUCUGUAGAACAUUUUCAUUUUCUGCUGUACACAUAUUGUACCUCCAGUCCAUAAUGAGCCAGCCCCAUGUGCUGCUCUGGGGAUUUGUAGUCAGCACUAGUUUUUUCUUCUUGAAAUUGAAUCUAAAUAUUGCAUUUUCUAUACAUCAAACGAGGAUGUGAAUAUAUUUUUUGCUGUACAUUUGCUGAUGCUCAAGAUCUUAAACCUGAAUAGGAGAAUCAUAUGGAAAACUGUGAUAUAUUGUAUGCUUAGUGUUUUUUAGGAUUAGGUUUUAAUCAUAGAAUGUUCUUGCAGAAAAUAAAAAGCACAACAUUGUCUGGCAGCUGUGCAACAUCUCAAUAGAAAUCUGUUCACAAAGAGAUGUGAACAACAGCGAGGGCUCAUAAACCUGAUUGUUAUACUGCUACCUUUUUCAGUUAUUGUGUGUACUUAAGGGGAUUAGCUUCAAAGCGAGCAGUCUUUUAUUACGUCCAUUAAGCGGUGAAUGAAUUAUUUGGAAAUGCCAGGAAGUGACUCUCCAAGCUAGAAACCAAUCAAGGUCUCAUGAAAUGAAAUGUCAUAUACAAAUUGAAAAGCGCAAUCAUAUGGUGGUCACCUUAUCUUAGAAAGUUCAAAAACUCACCAUAAUUGGUGAGCAACCGGAGCCCGUGUUUGAUUGAAUAUCAGUGGAAAACUUUCCUUGAUGUUUGGUGUUUUAGAAAUAUGGAGGUGGAAAAUAUUUGUAGAGACAGUUACAGUUAAUGCUGCUUUUUGCCAAAUAGUUUUUCCAAACCAACACUAAAGGGGCUUUCAGGCAGACACCACUGCACUCUGAAAUCCAUUAUUUCCAAUCACUUGCACCAAACCACAAUGGUUUCGUCGCUGCGUCAAACAAACUGCAGUGUUCAAUUACAUGAACUUUUACAGCUGCACACAGUAAAAGAAACUAGACGUUCAUUCAGACAUGAAGGACAAAAUGGAGGAAAGGCUGAUAUUGUGUUUUGUCUGAAUUUCCUAAGUUACGGUGUGUUAAUAAUGAAAGAAAGGGAAAUCUUUGCAGUCAGAUUUCAUCCAAGCAAGCAUGUUAAGGGUCUUUUAACAGUUAGGUAGCUUGUUGUAGGUAGCUAUACAGCAACGGGCCUCAAAUAACUUUGGGUUGCUAUUUGUGCUCCUUUAACAGUUCUAUAGAACAAUUUCUCAGUUGAGCCCCUUUCAGACAUGCACUCCUUUCUCUUAAUCUGACAGCAAAUUCACAUUUCAGCUUCAUGUCUGGGUCAGUUUUUUGGAAAAUGUGCGACCGGAAACUGCAAAGUUAGACCUGGUAACAUUUCAGUAUCACUUUCAACACAGAACAAGUCAGAACUACAUCCGAUCCCUUUAAUAGAUCGACAUGACCAAGCAACAGUACGUCGAAAAGAAGGCUCUUCCCCACAUACUGAUCAGCAUCAGAAUUCACACGAGCGUCUCCAAACAGUGACAGCUGCUCAUAACAGCAGCAGCAACUUCAUUACUUGUAAUUAUAAAUUAUCCCUGACAGGAAAACAGGAUCAGUUUGGGUCAGGAUCCAGCAGUAAAUCACACUGUGUAGCUUUCUUCCCAUCAGACAGACGAACUGCCACACAGAGUUUAGUUUUGGUGCUUCCAGCUGUUUUCAGGAGUGUGUGAAGUGAUUAAGGGGAGGUGUUUUCACAUUUUAGCAGCAAUACUGACUCAAAAACACCUAGGAGAGAGUCUUUCCUCUGAGUUUAUUAAAUAUCUGCAGCAUCAAACAGCAGCAGGAUUCAUAUGAGUCUCCAAAAUAAGGGAGCUGAUGGACAGAACAACGGAAGUAGCUUCAUUAAUUAGCUACAGUUGUAAAGUAACAGUGUUUUCAAUGUUAGGAAAUCAUAAAUCAACUUGGCUUUUAUUCAUUUGGAGGCUUUUUCCAUAUGUUGACAUCAAUAAUGAUCCAAAAGCAUCCCAAGGAGAGUCUUUCCUUGGAGUUUAUUAUUACAUGUAGCAUCUGACAGCAGCAGGGUCCAUAUGAGUCUCCAAAAUAAGAGAGUUGUUGCACAGAAUAACAGCAGUAAUUUUAUUAAUUAGCUAUAAUUAUAAAGUAUCCCUGACAUGGGGACAGGUUCCAUCAAAUCUAACAUCAAGUCAUACUGUUAUCUUACUGUAGGCAAAGUUUUAGUUAGAUUAUUAGUUAUUUGGGCACUUACAAACUGCUGUUAGAUUUAAGUUUGUUUUAGCAUUAAUGUUCAUUAUACCUUACUUUUUGUGUUGUCUAUUCACACAUGAAUGAAAGAGGAACAUUAUUGGAAAAGUGACUUUAUGUUUGAAUGGCUGAAUUCCAUCACAUAAUGGAUUGAUGGAGCUCCAUAUCUCAUGCUUGAAAAGGGCUUUAGUGACAUAGUUUUACUAGAAAUUAUGAAAACUCCACGUAACACGACAAAUCUGGUACGAAGAGUAUUGUGUUCUACACCUGAAAGCUCCUUCAGGUGUCACCAGAGUCACCGCUUUCAUUUUCUUCACUGAGUAAUUCUCAACUUUCUUUUAACAUUACCAGGUUGGAUUAAACUGAUUUUCAUUCAAAGUCGUUUGUAUCCUCUAACCCAUUCAAAAGUUACCCUCUCUCCUGCACAAAUACAUAUAAAAUAUAAAGUAAUCCUUUGACCAACAGUUUAACAAAGCUUCAUAUUACACAAAGUCCACAUAAAAAUGAAGAGAAGGUGCAAAUAAGCGCCUGACUGUGAGCCAGUGUCCUUCUAAGGCGAUUAGAAAAACCCUGACUGAUAAAGAUCAGAAAGUUUUUACAAUUCAAAACAUUGAUAUUUUCAUGGAUUUUUUUUGUAAAGCCCCCGAAACUCUGCAGCAAAUCCCAGGUAAUUCUCUGUGACAUUAAAUAUGUAUGAAAAUAAGAAACAAUAAUAGCCGUAGCACUCAGGAACUCAGAUAAUCUGCUUUAUCGGUGAUGUGUAGGUGGAGUUUCAUUACAUUUGUGACAACUGGCCGACUGGCUGGAUUCUUAUUAUUGAGAUGUUGCUGAGUCCUGAUUGCUGCAUGUGAGAGACUUUUGUGAGAAAAGUAUAGAAAAAGUAAGAAGAAAACCGUUUUCAUCUCGCAGUAAUAUGCUGAUUAAGGAAGUGCAUUUUCAAGUCUUUUAAAGUAGGAAAUGCUUAUAAUGAACACAUUACCUUUAGUAUGAGGUGUUCUACUGCAGAGUCAUAUCAAGGCUUUUAUUUUGUUCCUCUGUAUGUGCAAUGAAAGGAAAGAAAUCAGACUCGGGUCAACGCCUCUUUCAAGACAUGGGAACAUAUAUAUAUAUAUACAUACAAUAGCAAGGAUUGGAUUUAUCAGAUUUAAACGAACAAGGUUGUUUCAGUACCUUAAUGCUCAGUGGUUUUCACAUAGCCUGAAGAACAGAACAUUUACACAAGCCAUAGCAGCAGCAGUCUGAUUUUGUAUAGAAAUCUAGCUCCACUCUGCACUUUUGACACCGAGUGGGCAGCUGACUUCAUUGACUGAUAAAAUACUGGUCUUACAUAUGAACCGCCUUCUAAUCAUCCUAAUGGUAUUAGCAGCAGACAGCAGCCGUCUCGGGGAAAACAAUCCGAGGUAACAUCACAGCCAUCUUUUUUUUAAUCCCCCUGCAGUCGAAAUUUAUUUGGACAUGUCUUUCAUAUCGCUUUGACAUCCCAGAUUACGGGGUGGAACAAACACGUGUCUGACUGCCGAGUGGAGAUUUCACAAUGCUGAGAGCAAACACUGUAAGCGGUAAUGAGUGUGUACAAGGGGACUGGAACGACUUCUUUCAAAGGCGAACACUUGAAUCAUUCAGACGACAAAAGUUCACACUGACCAGUUGUGUUUUUUUUCUUUGCACAUGCUGUGAAUUCAUCAGCCGUGUGCUCAUUGGUAUUUAGGCUUCUUAUUUCCACUGACGAGAGGCUGAGAUUGAUAACAGCUUUAUAUAGAAGCUCUGACACUUUGCACGGCUUUUAAUCAUGUGUGAUAAUUAGCCCUAAUUAACUUACAUUCUCAGCUCUCAUAGUAUGAUUAGAUCUAUUGUAUAUUUUACCGAAGCAUUUAAUUACAUUUACCUCCGCUGCGCUUCAAAUGGAUAUGUGACUUUUAAAGUCCCUAACAACUAAGACAUUUGCAGUCCUGGCUGAUUUUGGCAACACCUGUGGGUCUCCAUGGCAACACCAAGUGGGGUUUGAUGCUACAGUCACACACAAUCCUGUGGGCAGCCAGUCAGUAAGAAAUACAACACAGCAAUUUGGCUUUUUCUGUGAGCCACUAUGAUCAGAUUUCAUGUGGCACAAGUAGUUUUCCUUCUUGUUAUUUAUUCACUGGGCUAUUUAAAACUGAUCUCCUGCUCAAUAUGGAAAUUUUGUUCCACCCGAUGAAGGUUUUUAAUGUGAAGAAGUGGCAGUGAAAGCUUAAAAUCAGAAAUACAGGGAACAGUGAGGAUGAUAGUGGUAAGAUAAAAUUAAAAACAGUAUUGCUAUAUAUAUUUAAGCUCAAUUUUCUUGAACUUAAAUGGCAGCAGUGGUUGAAAAUAGUUUAAUUUCUUGAUGUUCUUGAAUUUAAAAACACUCAUUUGUUUAUAUAUAAUAAUUUUCUCAAAAAACGUCAUUUUACCAAAUUAGGUAGUUUGGAGUCAUAUGUCUGGCCACCCAAUGAAUGCAAAUCAAAUAUUCUCUCUGUUUUUGCUCUGUUUUUGGUCUCCACCAGCUCCUAAUGGAAAUACAUAACCCUUAAUUGCCUCAAUGCUUCACUGUGUUUGCCAGGCAGUUUUUAUUUUAUAACAAGUUAUUACAAAAAUAUUGACUCUAACCACUUUCAAUAAAGAUCAAUUUUAGACAGUCAAGUUCCACCUUAACUCUCCCAGGAAGUGAAUUUGUUCCAUUAUCUCGAGUCACUCAAACUGUGAUUACUGAAGGGAACAGGAAGUGUUCUUCUGUGGUUUUUAUGUGGAGGCCAAACCUGCGCUCAAUUGAAAAGUUGACAAUCUGUACUCUUUCUCUUUGGCGGAAACUUUGUUGUGACGUGCAAGUUAGAUACAGCUCUGAUUAGAUUUAAAAUUAAAACAGAUGAUUCGUGUCAAGUAGUGCUGAAAUAAUAGUCAGAUGUGUUAUUUAAGAAGAAGGAAAGCACCCCCAAAAUCACUGGUUGCACUCUCCAUGCUUAUUUUUCCACUUUUCAUAUCCCUGCAAAUCAGUUUGUGUGCUGUUAGAUAAACAAACAAUUUAGUAGAUUAUAAUGGGCAUUUUUCCGUGUACUUUCAAACUAGUUGCUAGAUAACCUCAUUCAAGAUCUCCAACAAUGACUCACAAAACAUUGCAUUUGCACUAAAAGAACAAAAACACCACACAAAAUGCACACAAUUAGUCUCUCAUGGCAAGACAUUCAUGUUUCAUUUAACCUUGCAGACAUCCGUAAUUAUUUUUGUUUUUUUUCACCGUCUUCAAGCAGACUGCAGCAGGUAUUUUAUUUUUGCAUGACAGAAAGAAUGAGGAUGGCAAUUAACGCUUGUUGCCGAGGAUAAGCCGCGACUAUUAUCUCCUGCCAAGUGUAAAAUUAGUGCGAUUAUCAGCAAUAUUACCAUAGAAAUAUGGUCAGACGUGGAUAAUUUCAAGAUAGAAACCUAAAUGGGAGUUUUUCAAUCAGUCUAUCUGCACAUCCGGCGUUCAGUCGGUGAGGCAAGAACUCACAACAUGUCAGUGAAGUUAAUUACCUCACCGAAUGCCUCCCAGCAGAGUGUGGAAUAAUAGCAUCAGGGGAGAGAGUGACUUUUCCUGUGUUGUAUUGGUUUUAUAGUACGGCAGAAUCUCUCUUAACCCCUAUUUCACUUUAAUUAGGCGUGUACCCAGGAGACGGACUUCUUUUUUUGGUGAAAAACAUUCUUGUUAUCCCAAGGGCAAUGACCUUGCAGUGAGUGUUUCUUAUUCUCUCAUUGAUUACAAAGCGUGUUCAUCCAGAAUUGAUGACCUUAUUAUAAUGGGUGGUUUUAACGUGUCCUUGAGAAUCCACUCGCGCCCGGAAGAUAAUUGAGCCCAAUUUCUCACCGCUACUGUUGACAUUAUGAAGCACUUUUCAGGUUUUUAGAUUUAUGACGAUUAUAUUUGACUCAAAUAAAUGGCUACCUUUUCAUUAACUGAAAGAAACUGUAGGUGUAAACUUUGAGUCCUGGGAAGUAAAGGAUAAUAUGUACAUUUACAUUAAGAAAAGAAUAGUGAAAUAUGCAGAUUUUUAUAUAUCAAUAGAGCAUAUAUGUGUGUGUACUGUUGACUUUUGCAGAUGAAUUUGUUUGAUUUCCUUUUUCUGUAUUUAUGGUUCAGGAAUUGGUGUAAAUGUUCUUAAAUUUAGCCAGUUCUAUGACAAUGUUUACAAAAAACGUGACUGUAAUUAAGCAAAAGAGCUCAUCUAGAUGGAAAAAUUUGUCAAAAGCAUUUAUUUUAGCUGGGAGGACUUCUUUUUAACAACUACUCAUGUUUGUAUUCAGAUGAAGAAUUUCAGUUUUUAAAUGUUGGCUCAGUUUUCAAGGUAUCUUUUUUUAUGUCAAAAGUUCUGAUUUGUUCAUAAGUGUUUGAUUACAGCAAUAUUUUGGCAGAUUGUGAUUUGUUAGAUUUUUUAUGUUAUGUGAAUUUGUGCGUCUUGUAAAAUGAUUACUUUUACUUACCGAGACAGUUUUUAAAUAGAUUCUACAUAUAUGCACUCCCUGAUUCAGGGUUUCCAUUGUUUCCGAUGAAAAUGUAAAUUGUAAACUAUUUUAAGAAUUCGUGUACGGUGAAAUAAACCUCUUUGCAGGACAUUUGUAAACCUCUUUGCUCCUCUGUCUUUCACUGCCUCUUCAAACUUACCCAAUUCAUAAAGUCAAACAGGGCAACGCUGAAUGUUCUUCAUUUUUGUCAUAUUUUAAUAAAUAAACCCAAACUAACC